CGUCUCCACGCCGCCACACCCGCCACGCCUCCACGCCAUCUUAAACAGUGCGCCCUCUAUGGGAGGCUCUCCCCUCAGUCGCCAUCGUCGGAGGCCAGAGCUCGGUGGAUCUGGGAUUGUGACGAGGAGGCCGUUGGUGCUCCAACUUCACAAGACGGAGGACUGGCAACCUGAAUAUGCAGAGUUUCUUCACAUGCCGAGGAGAAAGUUCACUGAUUUUUGUGAGUUACUUUGCUAUCAGUUAGUUUAUUUGAGAGAAAGGUUACUGUUUUGAUUCAUUUUUUGUGAGUUUAUUACUGAUUAGUUUGUUUGAGAGAAUAAGGUUAUUGGUUUGAUUAAUUUGUUUGUAUGGAUAUUGUCUGUGCUUAGUUUGAGUUUUUUGUUGUAGAUACUUGUGCUUACUAAAGGCUAUUAGGUAAAUUGCAGAUAACUACCUCAUCUAUACCUUCAGUAACAAUAACCAUUCCUAAUUUGAGUGCUUAUUUAUAAACUUGUUAUUUUCUGUAGGAACGAUUUGUCAAGGGGAGACAUCAGCUUUUGGGCCCUAAUUUAUCUACUCUCAAGAUAUGACAUCAAGCAGAACAAUGUCAUUCUCGCAGAGGACAAACAUGUGCCCAUGAUCAAGGAGGAAGAAACAUGAUACUUCAACAAUUUGGAGGAGUAAAUGCAAUUGGAUUCUAUAAAUUAUGCAAAGUUCAUCAAGUUAUGUAAAUAAUUGUAUUCUUUAUAAUCUAUGUAAAAAAUUUAUGUAUCUUUCUAGUAUUUUGGUGAAUGUAUUUUUUGAAUAUAAUUAUAUUUGAUAUUGAAAUAUAAUUAGAUUGAUUGUGUUGGAUA